GCAGAGGUGGCUCAGCAGUCAGAGCACUGGCUGCUCUUGCAGAGAACCUGGGUUCAAUUCCCAGCACCUGCU
rnacentral:tRNA from 1 species